rnacentral:misc_RNA from 1 species
AACGCAACUGGCGCUUUUUGGUAUUCCAAAGAGCAUGCCUGUUUGAUAAUUGUACAAACAAAAUCUCAUAGCACUUUGUGCCAUAAGAUUUUCUAUGAACGUUUCUUAUGAUGAGUGCUUGAAAGAGUGCUAGUGUUCAGAAGUCGUUUAAAAUAAGGGCAUCCUCGAUCUUAACCUAGCAUCUUUGGCUAUUGUGAUAAUAUUUUUCAAGGAAAAUUAUCUCAUUGUAGCCUCAGUUGCCGGUAAGGCACACACUAGUGAGUCUUAUUGUUAAAAUAGGAGACAACAGGGUGGACACUUGAUUAAGAAUGAAGUAUAAAAGCUGCUUCUACUUGAACAUAUUAUCAAAUCAGGUAGGAUUACCCGCUGAACUUAA